AGGUAAGCUACUAAGAGCGAAUGGUGGAUGCCUUGACUGGUAAAGGCGAUGAAGGACGUACUAGACUGCGAUAAGCUACGGGGAGCUGUCAAGAAGCUUUGAUCCGUAGAUUUCCGAAUGGGGCAACCCAAUGUAUAGAGAUAUACAUUACCUAUAUAGGAGCGAACGAGGGGAAUUGAAACAUCUUAGUACCCUCAGGAAAAGAAAUCAAUAGAGAUUGCGUCAGUAGCGGCGAGCGAAAGCGCAAGAGGGCAAACCCAGUGCUUGCACUGGGGGUUGUAGGACUGCAAUGUGCAAGAGGUAAGUUUAGCAGAACAUUCUGGAAAGUAUAACCAUAGAGGGUGAUAGUCCCGUAUGCGAAAAACAAACCUUAGCUAGCAGUAUCCUGAGUAGGGCGGGACACGAGGAAUCCUGUCUGAAUCUGGGUCGACCACGAUCCAACCCUAAAUACUAAUACCAGAUCGAUAGUGCACAAGUACCGUGAGGGAAAGGUGAAAAGAACUGAGGUGAUCAGAGUGAAAUAGAACCUGAAACCAUUUGCUUACAAUCAUUCAGAGCCCUAUGUAGCAAUACAGGGUGAUGGACUGCCUUUUGCAUAAUGAGCCUGCGAGUUGUGGUGUCUGGCAAGGUUAAGCAAACGCGAAGCCGUAGCGAAAGCGAGUCUGAAUAGGGCGCUUAGUCAGAUGCUGCAGACCCGAAACGAAGUGAUCUAUCCAUGAGCAAGUUGAAGCUAGUGUAAGAACUAGUGGAGGACUGAACCCAUAGGCGUUGAAAAGCCCCGGGAUGACUUGUGGAUAGGGGUGAAAGGCCAAUCAAACUUCGUGAUAGCUGGUUCUCUCCGAAAUAUAUUUAGGUAUAGCGUUGUGUCGUAAUAUAAGGGGGUAGAGCACUGAAUGGGCUAGGGCAUACACCAAUGUACCAAACCCUAUCAAACUCCGAAUACCUUAUAUGUAAUCACAGCAGUCAGGCGGCGAGUGAUAAAAUCCGUCGUCAAGAGGGAAACAACCCAGACUACCAGCUAAGGUCCCUAAAUCUUACUUAAGUGGAAAACGAUGUGAAGUUACUUAAACAACCAGGAGGUUGGCUUAGAAGCAGCCAUCCUUUAAAGAAAGCGUAAUAGCUCACUGGUCUAGUGAUUUUGCGCGGAAAAUAUAACGGGGCUAAAGUAAGUACCGAAGCUGUAGACUUAGUUUACUAAGUGGUAGGAGAGCGUUCUAUUUGCGUCGAAGGUAUACCGGUAAGGAGUGCUGGAGCGAAUAGAAGUGAGCAUGCAGGCAUGAGUAGCGAUAAUUAAUGUGAGAAUCAUUAACGCCGUAAACCCAAGGUUUCCUACGCGAUGCUCGUCAUCGUAGGGUUAGUCGGGUCCUAAGUCGAGUCCGAAAGGGGUAGACGAUGGCAAAUUGGUUAAUAUUCCAAUACCAACAUUAGUGUGCGAUGGAAGGACGCUUAGGGCUAAGGGGGCUAGCGGAUGGAAGUGCUAGUCUAAGGUCGUAGGAGGUUAUACAGGCAAAUCCGUAUAACAAUACUCCGAGAACUGAAAGGCUUUUUGAAGUCUUCGGAUGGAUAGAAGAACCCCUGAUGCCGUCGAGCCAAGAAAAGUUUCUAAGUUUAGCUAAUGUUGCCCGUACCGUAAACCGACACAGGUGGGUGGGAUGAGUAUUCUAAGGCGCGUGGAAGAACUCUCUUUAAGGAACUCUGCAAAAUAGCACCGUAUCUUCGGUAUAAGGUGUGGUUAGCUUUGUAUUAGGAUUUACUCCGAAAGCAAGGAAACUUACAACAAAGAGUCCCUCCCGACUGUUUACCAAAAACACAGCACUCUGCUAACUCGUAAGAGGAUGUAUAGGGUGUGACGCCUGCCCGGUGCUCGAAGGUUAAUUGAUGGGGUUAGCAUUAGCGAAGCUCUUGAUCGAAGCCCGAGUAAACGGCGGCCGUAACUAUAACGGUCCUAAGGUAGCGAAAUUCCUUGUCGGUUAAAUACCGACCUGCAUGAAUGGCGUAACGAGAUGGGAGCUGUCUCAAAGAGGGAUCCAGUGAAAUUGUAGUGGAGGUGAAAAUUC
rnacentral:rRNA from 1 species